rnacentral:tRNA from 1 species
CGUGGUGUUCGGCACGGUGCUGCUGGGCCGCUUGCAGGGCGGCGAGGGCGCCGACCGCACGCUGGGGGUGUUCAUCAACACCUUGCCGCUGC